ACAUUCAAGAUGGACGCUUUGUAAUCGUGUGAGGCACGUUUAUUGAGUGUUUUGAAUAUAUUUUAUUUAUUUAAUCAUUUGAAACGUGUAGUAUUACCACAAAAUAAUGACAGAGGAAGUGCAAAAACAUUCCGUACACACACUUGUGUUUCGGUCUCUAAAGAGAACACAUGACAUGUUUAUUGCUGAUCAAGGGAACACACCAGCCAAAGACCCAAAAUGUGAACUACUGAAGAGGAAAUUAAAAGUAGCAGACGAAUAUGCUCUCGUAAAAGACAUGCCAAAGGAAGGAGGCAACAAGAUGCAUAACAAAGAUGUGAUCAAACCUCUUGAUGAAAACAGCUGGAAUGGUAGCCAGGAUCCCAGCAUUCUAGGGACACAUCCUUACCCCACGGGUUCAGGAGUACAGCUAACAGAUGGGUCAUCCAUGCACACAGAUCCUAGCAAGUCCUCAAGUAUGGAAAUGGCCUUGUAUGAGAAAAACAGGAUGAUGGACACACCGGCAGGAUCAGGAGUCCACGACAUCAGACAGAGCCAUAUAGACCGGUCAGAUCCCUCCAAGGCAUUAGUUGCUAUAGGAAACCAGCAAGCCUUGGUGCCGAGAAAGGCGCCUACCAUGCCGAAGCCCUCGUGGCAUCCUCCGUGGAAGUUAUACAGGGUGAUCAGUGGCCAUUUGGGCUGGGUGCGAUGUGUGGCAGUAGAGCCAGGAAAUCAGUGGUUUGCCACGGGCGCUGGCGACCGAAUGAUAAAGAUCUGGGACCUAGCCAGUGGGACCCUGAAGUUAUCCCUGACCGGCCACAUCAGUUCUGUGAGGGGCCUGUGUGUCAGCCCCAGACAGCCAUACCUUUUCUCCUGCUCCGAGGACAAACAGGUCCGCUGCUGGGACCUGGAAUACAAUAAGACGACGCGGCACUACCACGGUCACCUGAGUGCAGUAUAUGCACUGGACCUCCACCCAACCAUUGAUGUAUUGGUAACAUGUGGGCGCGACGGUACUGCCCGUGUGUGGGACGUCCGGAGUAAGGCGUGUGUACACACCCUCACCGGUCACAACAACACAGUGGCCAGUGUCAAGUGUCAGGCCUCAGAACCUCAGGUUAUAACAGGUAGCCACGAUUGUACAAUCAGACUUUGGGACCUGGCCAUGGGUCGGUCAAGAGCCACGCUGACUAAUCACAAAAAGAGUGUGCGAGCAGUUGCCCUUCAUCCUACUCAGUACAGUUUUGCAUCCGGAUCUCCAGAUAACAUUAAACAGUGGAAGUUCCCGGAUGGUAACUUUAUACAGAAUCUGUCUGGACAUAAUUCCAUCAUUAAUGCCCUGGCGUUAAACUCUGAUGGUGUGCUGGUUUCUGGAGCUGACAAUGGUUCCAUGCAUUUCUGGGACUGGAGGACGGGGUACAACUUCCAGCGAAUCCAAGCAGCAGCACAACCUGGUUCCAUUGACUCGGAGUCGGGGAUAUUUGCGAUGACCUACGACCAGAGUGGCAGUCGACUCAUCACAGCUGAGGCCGACAAAACUAUCAAAAUAUACAAAGAAGAUGAAACAGCUACGGAAGAAUCUCAUCCUCUUAACUGGCGACCUGACAUCCAGAGGAAGAAGCGAUACUGAGCUCAGAAUUGUUAACCAAAGACUAAGUACCGGUAAUGUGCCAUGCCAGAGAUGGACUUGUGUGUUUCUGACAAUUCAGUAUCGGAUGGCCAUAGAUAACUAGGCUAAGCUGUGGAUUGUUGACCAGCCUGCCUAUGGACAAAUCUAGGACAGGUCAAGGUUGACAGUGCACAAAGUGUGGAUGGAUCACAUUCGCUCAAUCAUGAUUGGAUCUAGACUGUUGUUUAGAUUUGUGUCAAAUUCAGACUUGUAUGUUUGAUUCUUGGCAAUAGUAGACCAGACUAUUGUCAAAUUCAGACUUAUAUGAUCAAAUCUGGCUUUUUUGUAAAAAAUCUUGACAUGCAAAAUAGAUAAUCUAAAUGUGAAAUUGGUGUGCCAAUGGUCUUGAAAAAAUUCUUACUACACCUGUUCUUUGAUGAUAUAUCUGUUUUGUCUUUAAUGAAACUACAAAGUUUUCACCUUGUGACGUAGUUGAUUUUGGCAAUAAAAAUCUAAAUUGAAACAUAAUUGAGCAGGAAUUUUGUCAACCCUUUUGAAGUAGGGAGUACACACAGCAAACAGGUCUGUAAGGAUAUGUAGGGAGUAUACACACAGCACACAGGUCUCUAAGGAUAUGUAGGGAGUUUACACACAGCACACAGGUCUCUAAGGAUAUGUAGGGAGUACACACAGGUCUGUAAGGAUAUGUAGGGAGUAUACACACAGCACACAGGUCUCUAAGGAUAUGUAGGGAGUACACACAGAACACAGGUCUGUAAGGAUAUGUAGGGAGUACACACAGAACACAGGUCUGUAAGGAUAUGUAGGGAGUACACACAGGUCUGUAAGGAUAUGUAGGGAGUAUACACACAGCACACAGGUCUGUAAGGAUAUGUAGGGAGUACACACAGAACACAGGUCUGUAAGGAUAUGUAGGGAGUACACACAGGUCUGUAAGGAUAUGUAGGGAGUAUACACACAGCACACAGGUCUGUAAGGAUAUGUAGGGAGUACACACAGAACACAGGUCUGUAAGGAUAUGUAGGGAGUACACACAGGUCUGUAAGGAUAUGUAGGGAGUAUACACACAGCACACAGGUCUGUAAGGAUAUGUAGGGAGUACACACAGAACACAGGUCUGUAAGGAUAUGUAGGGAGUACACACAGCACACAGGUCUGUAAGGAUAUGUAGGGAGUACACACAGCACACAGGUCUGUAAGGAUAUGUAGGGAGUACACACAGCACACAGGUCUGUAAGGAUAUGUAGGGAGUACACACAGCACACAGGUCUGUAAGGAUAUGUAGGGAGUACACACAUCACACAGGUCUGUAAGGAUGUGUAGGGAGUACACACAGCACACAGGUCUGUAAGGAUAAGUAGGGAGUACACACAGCACACAUGUCUGUAAGGAUAUGUAGGGAGUACACACAGAACACAUGUCUGUAAGGAUAUAUAGGGAGUACACACAGGUCUGUAAGGAUAAGUAGGGAGUACAUACAGAACACAGGUCUGUUAGGAUGUGUAGGGAGUACACACAGCACACAGGUCUGUUAGGAUAUGUAGGGAGUACACACAGCACACAGGUCUCUAAGGAUAUGUAGGGAGUACACACAGCACACAUGUCUGUUAGGAUGUGUAGGGAGUACACACAGCACACAGGUCUGUAAGGAUAAGUAGGGAGUACACAGCACACAGGUCUGUUAGGAUAUGUAGGGAGUGCACACAGGUCUGUAAGGAUAUGUAGGGAGUACACACAGCACACAGAUCUGUAAGGAUAUGUAGGGAGUACACACAGCACACAGGUCUGUAAGGAUAUGCAUCAUGUCUGGGGUUCUCUACAUU
rnacentral:misc_RNA from 1 species